GACGAACGCUGGCGGCGUGCUUAACACAUGCAAGUCGAACGGAAAGGCCUGCUUUCCCUUGUGGAUUGCGGGUACUCGAGUGGCGAACGGGUGAGUAACACGUGAGUGAUCUGCCCCCAACUUGGGUAUAAGCCUGGGAAACUGGGUCUAAUUCCCGAUAGGACUGCAGGGUGGUGCCUGUGGUGGAAAACGAUUUUUCUAGUGGUUGGGGAUGAGCUCGCGGCCUAUCAGCUUGUUGGUGGGGUAAUGGCCUACCAAGGCGGCGACGGGUAGCCGGCCUGAGAGGGUGGACGGCCACAUUGGGACUGAGAUACGGCCCAGACUCCUACGGGAGGCAGCAGUGGGGAAUAUUGCACAAUGGGCGGAAGCCUGAUGCAGCGACGCCGCGUGGGGGAUGACGGCCUUCGGGUGGUAAACUCCUUUCGACCGCGAGGAAGCCACCUGGUUGGAAGGGUGGUGACGGUAGUGGUAGAAGAAGCACCGGCUAACUACGUG
rnacentral:rRNA from 1 species